AGGCCUGGGAAUUGAAGGGUUCUGCGCAAUAUCUUCUCUUCUGGACAGCGAUCUCAGAUGUCCCACCUUGAAUCUGUUGAAGUCACUCCCCUAACUUUGGAGUCACAGCCCGAGUGCUCCUAUCACAACUCGGACUACUACUACUGUAUAUAUACACACACACAUAUUAUACAUACAGAGAGAGAGAGAGAGAGAGAUGUGUGUAUUUAUAAUGUGUCAGUGCUUUGUUAAACACAGAUCUACACACACCUGUCAAGCCAUAAGACUUGCUUUUCCCACAGAAAUCUUAAAUUUGCAGUGAUAUUACUACUGCAGGGGAAUCUGGGUAAGCAUAUGGUAAUGAGUUCAGCAAAUAAUCACAUUGUUGCCUCGUUAUGCAAUUUUAUGUUAUAUAAAAUACAAACAAAAUGUCUUCUUUUGAUUUCUUUGUAUUCUUCAGAUGAGUAUUCCUGGGGAAGAUCUCUGGCUAUGCCCUGUGAACUUCGGAGCUCACUGGAUUUUAGUGGUAUUUACUAUAGGACUACGUUAAUUAAACUUUCUUUACUUGUGUUAUCAUGUGCUUUUAUAAUUCAUGUAAUUAUGUUACAUAUACAGAUAUUUACCUACAUCCCUCUGACACCGCAGAACACACCAGCUGUAUACACCAAUAAUAUGAAUGUCAUAAAGAAAAUGUUGUGUUUUCCUGAAUUAUCUUUUAGAUUGUCAUCAUGUCGAAGAAGGUUAUUGUGCUAAUUGACCCACUGGGAAAUGAACAUAAUUGUCUAUUAAAAGUACAGCACAAUUGGAGGGGAGUGUGUCUUGGGAAAAAGUUUUCACUUAAACUGAUGUGCACAACAUUCAAUUAAAACUUGUGUAAUUUCUUGUUAUUUUUUCCUAGUAUGUUCUUGAAGAAGUAUAUUCCUGAAGAAGAAGUAGCCCAAUUGAAUAUCCAUGUAAUGCAUCACAGCAACCAGGAGGAUACCAGCAGCUGUGGAGUUUUGAUCUUGAUGUUUGCCAAGGAGUUUCUUCAGACCAGAACCAUACAUGCAGUGAAGACCUCUGCAGAAGAUGUAGCUGAUGCACG